rnacentral:rRNA from 1 species
GAUGAACGCUGGCGGCGUGCCUAAUACAUGCAAGUCGAGCGAACAGAUAAUGAGCUUGCUCCUUUGACGUUAGCGGCGGACGGGUGAGUAACAUGUGGGUAACCUACCUAUAAGACUGGAAUAACUCCGUGAAACCGGGACUAAUGCCGGAUAACAUUUAGAACCGCGUGGUUCUAAAGUGAAAGAUGGUUUUGCUAUCACUUAUAGAUGGACCCGCGCCGUAUUAGCUAGUUGGUAAGGUAACGGCUUACCAAGGCAACGAUACGUAGCCGACCUGGGAGGGGGUAGGCGGACAGUGAGACUGAGCCGCGGUCCAGGGUCCUAGGGGAGGCAGCAGUAGGGAAGCGACCGAGAUGGGCGGAAGACUGACGGAGCGGCGCCGCGUGGGUGAUGAAGGUCUUCGGAUCGUAAAACUCUGUUAUGAGGGAAGAACGAAUGUGGAAGUAACGGUGCACGUCUUGACGGUACCUAAAGAGAAAGCAACGGCUAACUACGUG